GCUAUGGAAUUUUUGAAGCAACUAUUCGUGCGCGACGACUGUCCGCAUUGCAUGUACGAAUUAUUGAAGGCGCACCAGCGGUCUUAUCGUUCCAAGUCAAAGUUGCGUGUGCAUUUUCUCACUCACUGGAAAAAAAACACAUUGGAUCUAGAGUCCAGACUCUUAAAAUCAUCGACAAGAAAAAAUACUCUUGAUUCAAUCGGUUUUUUGCUUAAAUCGAGAACCAAGCCUCUUAUUUUUAGCAGAUUUCCUUUUGAUUUAAGCUUAAAUCUGAUUGAAUCAGUCCUUUUUCUUGUCAAUGUUUUCAAGAGUCUGGACUCUAGAUCCAAUGUGUUUUUUUUUUUACCAGUGUACUAUUUUCGAACUUUCCGGAGGAUGAUACCCCUCAAGACAUGGAUUAAUCUCAAGUUAUUUCUAACAGAAACAACUCGGUGGAAAGAUAGGAUUAGGCUCCGCCCACACGUUUUGCGCACGCGUGACGUCAGUUUGGAAAGAGUUCACUGGUGCGAAAACGUAUGUUUAUCGCCGAGCUGCUCAAGCGAGAAAGUUCAACGCCGCAGACAGGAAACCUCGAGCCGUAAAGCAUUACGUCCCGGCGGCGCGGCAGGCGGAAGGCAAUUCAUAGGAAAUGGAAAAUGGAGCUUUGAUGCCGCUUAUCAUCGAAACGCUCCGUGAUUUCACCGCUCCUCAUUUUCCACACGUACGUCGGGAAAUAACACGAAUCGGAGUCGAAUCAUUGACGGGUAGCUGAAUAAGAAUAAGGGAAUCGUGAAGCCUAGACAGAGACAAGAGACCCUCCACUAGUAUCUUGGCCAUGGUGGAAGCUUUUACUUUCGGGACUUCAGCAUUCUACUGUUGAUUUACCUACAUGGUUGAUGUUCAACAACUUGUUGGCAGUUUCGUCUUGCAAACAAGCCGAAAAUGGCCGACGUUUGGGAAGCUUGUUUGGCUCAUGACGUCACCCGAAGCUCAUCAUCCACCAUGUAGGUAGGUCAACAGCCGAAAUUAGGGUGAUGACUGUUGCUCCCUAAUAAUUGUCCAUUAGGAAUUGUUGAAACCCCGAAAGUAAAAGCUUCCACCUGUCGCUAGGAGGCGAGUGGAGGGUCUCUUGUCUCUGAGCCUAGAGGAUAGGUUUUCAUAGUUAAAAAAUGGAUCGCCAAAGUAAACAUUUAUCUAUACAAAACAACUGUACCGUGUUUUUAGAGAGGACCUGCUUCCUUUCCUAAAAUUUUUUGGAAAAUUCCCUGAUUUUUAGCGUGAAUAAAUUGACACUCUUGAUUUAACAAACGAACAUAUUUCACAAAUUUAAUGUAUUCUUAAUGGGUCUCAUGGCUCAUGUCUUAAUGCACAUAGUUCCGUUUGAUAGAAAUCUGUUCACUUUUGCAUGUGCUACACUUGAUAUAGUUGAAAAAUGCUUAUAGCAACUCGGAAUUUUCUGAUUCAGAACCCAUUUUCCUGAUUUUUCCUAAUGACA
rnacentral:lncRNA from 1 species